UGCACACUACAGCUGAUGGAACCCGGACC
rnacentral:piRNA from 1 species